rnacentral:rRNA from 1 species
GAUGAACGCUGGCGGCGUGCCUAAUACAUGCAAGUCGAGCGAACAGACGAGAGUGCUUGCACUCUCUGACGUUAGCGGCGGACGGGUGAGUAACACGUGGGUAACCUACCUAUAAGACUGGGAUAACUUCGGGAAACCGGAGCUAAUACCGGAUAAUAUUUAGCUUCGCAUGAAGCAAUAGUGAAAGACGGUUCUGCUGUCACUUAUAGAUGGACCCGCGGUGUAUUAGCUAGUUGGUGAGGUAACGGCUCACCAAGGCAACGAAACAUAGCCGACCUGAGAGGGUGAUCGGCCACACUGGGACUGAGACACGGCCCAGACUCCUACGGGAGGCAGCAGUAGGGAAUCUUCCGCAAUGGACGAAAGUCUGACGGAGCAAUGCCGCGUGAGUGAAGAAGGUUUUCGGAUCGUAAAACUCUGUUGUAAGGGAAGAACAAGUACGUUAGUAACUGAACGUACCUUGACGGUACCUUACCAGAAAGCCACGGCUAACUACGUG